GAGUGAACGCUGGCGGCGUGCCUAAUACAUGCAAGUCGAACGAUGAAGCUUCUAGCUUGCUAGAAGUGGAUUAGUGGCGCACGGGUGAGUAAGGUAUAGUUAAUCUGCCCUACACAAGAGGACAACAGUUGGAAACGACUGCUAAUACUCUAUACUCCUGCUUAACACAAGUUGAGUAGGGAAAGUUUUUCGGUGUAGGAUGAGACUAUAUAGUAUCAGCUAGUUGGUAAGGUAAUGGCUUACCAAGGCUAUGACGCUUAACUGGUCUGAGAGGAUGAUCAGUCACACUGGAACUGAGACACGGUCCAGACUCCUACGGGAGGCAGCAGUAGGGAAUAUUGCGCAAUGGGGGAAACCCUGACGCAGCAACGCCGCGUGGAGGAUGACACUUUUCGGAGCGUAAACUCCUUUUCUUAGGGAAGAAUUCUGACGGUACCUAAGGAAUAAGCA
rnacentral:rRNA from 1 species